rnacentral:rRNA from 1 species
GCACUUUAUCUCCACGUUCGGAUCAUCCCGCAUCGCCAAACUAGCUUACCCAGUGUGGCCCACUAGCGACCGCCAUUCAACCGCAGGGUUCAAUUAAGCAACCCCGAGUUCUUACCCAUUUAAAGUUUGAGAAUAGGCCGAGGGCAUUACGCC